AUUGAACGCUGGCGGCAGGCCUAACACAUGCAAGUCGAGCGAGCGGCGGACGGGUGAGUAAUGUCUGGGAAACUGCCUGAUGGAGGGGGAUAACUACUGGAAACGGUCGCUAAUACCGCAUACCAUCAGAUGUGCCCAGAUGGGAUUAGCUAGUAGGUGGGGUAAUGGCUCACCUAGGCGACGCUCCCUAGCUGGUCUGAGAGGAUGACCAGCCACACUGGAACUGAGACACGGCCCAGACUCCUACGGGAGGCAGCAGUGGGGAAUAUUGCACAAUGGGCGCAAGCCUGAGGCAGCCAUGCCGCGUGUAUGAAGAAGGCCUUCGGGUUGUAAAGCACUUUCAGCGGGGAGGCGUUACUCACAGAAGAAGCACCGGCUAACUCCGUGCCAGCAGCCGCGGUAAUUC
rnacentral:rRNA from 1 species